GAUGAACGCUAGCUACAGGCUUAACACAUGCAAGUCGAGGGGCAGCGGGAUUGAAGCUUGCUUCAAUUGCCGGCGACCGGCGCACGGGUGAGUAACGCGUAUCCAACCUUCCGUACACUCAGGGAUAGCCUUUCGAAAGAAAGAUUAAUACCUGAUGGUAUCUUAAGCACACAUGUAAUUAAGAUUAAAGAUUUAUCGGUGUACGAUGGGGAUGCGUUCCAUUAGGUAGUAGGCGGGGUAACGGCCCACCUAGCCAACGAUGGAUAGGGGUUCUGAGAGGAAGGUCCCCCACAUUGGAACUGAGACACGGCCCAGACUCCUACGGGAGGCAGCGGUGAGGAAUAUUGGUCAAUGGGCGGAAGCCUGAACCAGCCAUGCCGCGUGAAGGACUAAGGCCCUACGGGUCGUAAACUUCUUUAGACGCAGAGCAAUAAGGUCCACGUGUGGACCGAUGAGAGUAUGCGUAGAAUAAGCAUCGGCUAACUCCGUGCCAGCAGCCGCGG
rnacentral:rRNA from 1 species